rnacentral:rRNA from 1 species
CGUAAGGCGCCGAAUGAGUCAUUAAAAAAUUAACAUCAUCCGAUCCCUAGUCGGCAUAGUUUAUGGUUAAGACUACGACGGUAUCUGAUCGUCUUCGAUCCCCUAACUUUCGUUCUUGAUUAAUGAAAACAUCCUUGGCAAAUGCUUUUCGCAGUAGUUAGUCUUCAAUAAAUCCAAGAAUUUCACCUCUGACAAUUGAAUACUAAUCGCCCCCAACUAUCCCUAUUAAUCAUUACGUCAAUCCUAGAAACCAACAAAAUAGAAUCAAACGUCCUAUUUCAUUAUCCAUGCUAAUGUAUUCAAGCGCGAGCCUG